rnacentral:rRNA from 1 species
ACAGCAGCAGCCGCGGUAAUACGGAGGGGGCUAGCGUUGUUCGGAAUUACUGGGCGUAAAGCGCACGUAGGCGGCUUGGUAAGUUAGAGGUGAAAGCCCGGAGCUCAACUCCGGAAUUGCCUUUAAGACUGCCGAGCUAGUAGGUGAGAGAGGUAAGUGGAAUUCCGAGUGUAGAGGUGAAAUUCGUAGAUAUUCGGAAGAACACCAGUGGCGAAGGCGGCUUACUGGCUCAUUCUAGACGCUGAGGUGCGAAAGCGUGGGGAGCAAACAGGAUUAGAUACCCCUGUAGUCCCUGUCUCUUAUAC